rnacentral:rRNA from 1 species
AGAGUUUGAUCCUGGCUCAGAACGAACGCUGGCGGUAUGUCUUAUACAUGCAAGUCGAGCGAGGACAGUAGCUUGCUACUGAGCCGAGCGGCGAACGGGUGAGUAACGCGUAAGCAAUCUGCCCCACAAUCGGGAACAACCGUGCCAACGCGCGGCUAAUGCCGGAUAUUGUGUCCUACUGCAUAGUAGGUUAACGAAAGAUUUAUCGUUGUGGGAUGAGCUGCGUCCGAUUAGCUAGUUGGCGGGGUAACGGCCCACCGUGGCGACGAUGGGUAGCCGGCCUGAGAGGGUGGACGGCCACAUUGGAACUGAGACACGGUCCAGACUCCUACGGGAGGCAGCAGCUAAGAAUCUUCCGCAAUGGGCGAAAGCCUGACGGAGCGACGCCGCGUGAACGAAGAAGGCCGUGAGGUUGUAAAGUUCUUUUCGGGAGGGGGAACAACCGUGGCAGGGAAUGGCCGCGGGAUGACGUGAAUCCCGGAAUAAGCCCCGGCUAACUACGUGCCAGCAGCCGCGGUAACACGUAGGGGGCGAGCGUUGUUCGGAAUUAUUGGGCGUAAAGGGCGUGCAGGCGGUCGUGCAAGUCCGGCGUGAAAGACCCCGGCCCAACCGGGGGGACGCGCUGGAAACUGCAGGGCUUGAGUACAGGAGGGGAUGCCGGAAUUCCAGGUGUAGGGGUGAAAUCUGUAGAUAUCUGGAAGAACACCAAUGGCGAAGGCAGGCAUCUGGCCAUGUACUGACGCUGAGACGCGAAGGUGCGGGGAGCAAACAGAGGUUAGAUACCCUGGUAGUCCGCACAGUAAAC